rnacentral:rRNA from 1 species
UACGAAGGGGGCUAGCGUUGCUCGGAAUCACUGGGCGUAAAGGGUGCGUAGGCGGGUCUUAAGUCAGGGGUGAAAUCCUGGAGCUCAACUCCAGAACUGCCUUUGAUACUGAGGAUCUUGAGUUCGGGAGAGGUGAGUGGAACUGCGAAGUGUAGAGGUGAAAUUCGUAGAUAUUCGCAAGAACACCAGUGGCGAAGGCGGCUCACUGGCUCGUAACUGACGCUCAUGGCACGACAGCGUGGGGAUCAAACAGG